rfam:Kluyvera intermedia strain CAV1151, complete genome.
UAGUCCGAAGCACGAGCUUCGGUAUAACUAUAAAAACUGAAAUUCCUCUUUGACGGGCCAAUAAUCUUAUUGGCCAUUUUUUU